AUAACAGGUACAGGAGUUAUAGGAGAGGUUUCUGAUAACAAUAGAAGAUACAGGAGUUAUAGGAGAGGUGUCUGAUAACAAUAGAAGAUACAGGAGUUAUAGGAGAGGUGUCUGAUAACAAUAGAAGAUACAGGAGUUAUAGGAGAGGUGUCUGAUAACAAUAGAAGAUACAGGAGUUAUAGGAGAGGUGUCUGAUAACAGGUACAGGAGUUAUAGGAGAGGUGUCUGAUAACAGGUACAGGAGUUAUAGGAGAGGUUUCUGAUAACAAUAGAAGAUACAGGAGUUAUAGGAGAGGUGUCUGAUAACAGGUACAGGAGUUAUAGGAGAGGUGUCUGAUAACAAUAGAAGAUACAGGAGUUAUAGGAGAGGUUUCUGAUAACAAUAGAAGAUACAGGAGUUAU